rnacentral:rRNA from 1 species
AUUAAUACCGCAUACAUCUACGGAUGAAAGCGGGGACCUUCGGGCCUCACGCUAUAGGUUUGCCGAUGGCUGAUUAUCUAGUUGGUGGGGUAAAGCCUACCAACGCGACCAUCAGUAGCUGGUCUGAGAGACGACCAGCCACACUGGGACUGAGACACGGCCCAUACUCCUACGGGAGGCAGCAGUGGGGAAUUUUGGACAAUGGGCGAAAGCCUGAUCCAUCAAUGCCGCGUGUGUGAAGAAGCCUUCGGGUUGUUUAUCACUUUUGUCCG